rnacentral:lncRNA from 1 species
UUUCUUUCUGUUUUCAGAUAAAGGAGAGUCGAUCAGGUAGAUACAUAUACAUAUAUUUGUGGACAGUAUGUCUUGUCAAUGCAAUCUGCACGGCCGGCAGAUUACUUGCUCGAUCACAACAAGAGAUUUUCUUUUCCUCCUGUUUAAUUAACUACCGGGUUUAAAUUACUUGCUCACAAGUCACAACAGAAGCUCUCAUCGCAGUAGAAACAAACUGAAACUGAACCUG